UAUCUCUGUAGAGUCUGCAUAUCAAUAAGCGGAGGAAAAGAAACUAACUAGGAUUCCCUCAGUAACGGCGAGUGAAGCGGGAAGAGCUCCAAAUUUGAAAUCUUCAAGGUUCUACCUUGACGAAUUGUAGUUUAAAGAAGUGUUUUCUGUUGGAGUUUUGGUAAAAGUUCUUUGGAAUAGGACAUCAUAGAGGGUGAGAAUCCCGUAUUUGACCAUUAUUUCCAGCUUUGUGAUACACUUUCAAAGAGUCGGAUUGUUUGGGAAUGCAGUCCAAAAUGGGUGGUAAAUUUCAUCUAAAGCUAAAUACUGGCGAGAGACCGAUAGCGAACAAGUACCGUGAGGGAAAGAUGAAAAGAACUUUGAAAAGAGAGUUAAACAGUACGUGAAAUUGUCAAAAGGGAAGCGUUUGACACCAGUGUUGUUUUCUCGAAAAUCAAUUAAAAAAGGCAGGAUUUUGUGUUGUAUUGACUUUAUCAGCUUUCUGCACUCUUUUCUUGUCUUUUUUAAUGCACUUUUCGUUUAACAAGUCAACAUCAAUUUCUUUUGUUGUAAAAGGGUCAUUGGAAGGUGGCUUUCUUUUCGGAGAAAGUGUUUAUAGCCUUUGGCCUCUGCAAUCGGAGAGAUUGAGGUCUGCAGCGUAGAUCCUUCGGGGUUAGAUACAUUUGUGCUAAGUUAUAGCCUUUCAUAGACAACUUGUUGACUAUGAUCAGUCAUGUAGCUUACUCGCUUAUGCUAUUUUACCUACGCUUAGGAUGUUGACGAUCAACUGAGCGCG
rnacentral:rRNA from 1 species